rnacentral:rRNA from 1 species
AACGAACGCUGGCGGCAUGCCUAACACAUGCAAGUCGAACGAGACCUUCGGGUCUAGUGGCGCACGGGUGCGUAACGCGUGGGAAUCUGCCCUUCGGUUGGGAAUAACUGAGAGAAAUUUCAGCUAAUAUCUUAUAAUGUCUUCGGACCAAAGAUUUAUCGCCGAGGGAUGAGCCCGCGUAGGAUUAGGUAGUUGGUGGGGUAAUGGCCUACCAAGCCGACGAUCCUUAGCUGGUCUGAGAGGAUGAUCAGCCACACUGGGACUGAGACACGGCCCAGACUCCUACGGGAGGCAGCAGUGGGGAAUAUUGGACAAUGGGCGAAAGCCUGAUCCAGCAAUGCCGCGGGAGUGAUGAAGGCCUUAGGGUUGUAAAGCUCUUUUACCCGGGAUGAUAAUGACAGUACCGGGAGAAUAAGCUCCGGCUAACUCCGUG